AUCAUCUCAAGUAUGCCUUAAAUAUCUAUCAGUGAUUAGUAAAACAAUCUUAGAACAAAUAAGAUUAUCUCAAGAUACAUUUAUGCUUCAGAUCUACCAUCACAAAACUGAGUUGUCACAAAUUGCAAAUCAAAUCAGGAAGACAUGACCACACUCCUCUUGAGCAAAAAGUCUGUCAAUUUUGUAGUUUAAGUAGGUUAUGUAGGAGACAAUGAAAGUAGAUUUUACUGUAGAUUGUCUAGAACGUAAAGUGUAAGCAUUUUUCUAUAUUCUAUAUGCCUUAAGUAAAUUUCUCGACUUCAGAUACUUCAAUAGCAAAGAGAAAUUUGUAUUCCUUUUUAUUAUAUACAGUCAUACAAACCAACUCUAACCAAUCAUACAGCUAGCUACAUUUAUCAUGCAGCAAUUACCAAGUUGCGAGAGGAAGUAAAUGUACUAGUCAAAGAGUAGAUUAGGCAUGUAUAUGUACAUGUAAAUGUAUAUGAUUGUUACCAUUGUUACUAUACUAUUUUGCCAUGUGACCUGUACCAAGCUGCAAGGUCUUCAUUCAUUCAUUUAGGUCAGUUCAAAUGUUACCCAGCCAACACUUAGCACAACUGGUUACAUUUUUGGCUUUUCAGGAAUUAUGUCAUAAAUAUACAAGUUCAUGCAUAUCAAAAGCAAAUUCAUGUAACUAACUUCUUGGCAUAAUCUUUUCAGAUGAUGAUGAUUAUUUCCUGAAUCUUGGAACAUUCUCGACAGGAGCAGCACCAACUGACCUGUUUAAAGGAAAAUCCACGAAGCCCAGCAUGGCACUAGCCAGAAAACACAGUGAUGCUCUGGGCACUCUGUUCAAUUACAGACCCACGGCCAAGUCUGCUGCAUCAUCAUCCGGGCGUGCAAGUGCAAGCGUAAGCAAACCAGGGCACCUCAAGCCUAAAUCACCACUGAGUAAAACAGGACCAAUUCUCCGGAUGCUGCUGAAGGUGGUGGUGCUGCCAGUGACGGCCAUGCGUUCCCAACCUGGGGCACCAUUCACGUUUGUGGAAUUUGUAUCGGAUUGCGACCCAAUUGACCAGAUCAACCAGGAGAUCACCAGCUGCAGAGAGAUUAGGUAAUUUGCUGACCCAUGUCAUUUAGUUACUGUAACUGGGCCGCCCCAAGAUGACCCCUGUCCUAAGGUGCCCGGAUUUUUUGCCGAUCAUAUUAUGCAUAAGUACGCCGUGUUUGUUGCCACUGACUAUGAUGAUUAGAAAGGUAAAUAAACCAAGUCCAAACAGCUUUUUUUUCUAUCAAAAAAAUGUUUACACAUAUUCACUUCCCUUUUUUUUGAAGACAGAAUUUUCACAAUAAUGUUGAUAGCGUCGAAUCACUGCAGUCACCUGUUACUGGGUAUUAUCCAAUUGAUUGAUAAUUAAAUUGUGAGGAACCAUUUAUUUGACACAUUAAACAGGUGGCAAUUCAUUAUAGAUCAGUCAACAAAAAUCCACAUACACUUUCAUGGCUCGAAAUACCACAUGUAUAUGCAGGUUAGUGCAGGUA